AACGAACGCUGGCGGCGCGUCUUAACCAUGCAAGUCGAGCGGCAGGCCGCAAUGCCGAGAGCGGCGGACUGGUGAGUAACACGUGGAUAACGUACCCCGAUGUCCGGGACAGCCUGUAGAAAUAGAGGGUAAUACCGGAUAGAUCACUGUUUACGUGAGGUAGACAGCGGGAAAGGAGCUUCGGCUCCGCGACGGGAUCGGUCUGCGGCCCAUCAGCUGGACGGCGGGGUAAAGGCCCGCCGUGGCGAGGACGGGUAUCCGGCCUGAGAGGGCGGACGGACACAGUGGGACUGAGAUACGGCCCAGACUCCUACGGGAGGCAGCAGGUAAGAAUAUUCCGCAAUGGGGGGAACCCUGACGGAGCGACGCCGCGUGAACGAAGAAGGCCGGAAGGUUGUAAAGUUCUUUUCUGUCCGAGGAAUAAGUUUCGGAGGAAAUGCCGGGACGGUGACGGUAGGGCAGGAAUAAGCACCGGCUAAUUACGUG
rnacentral:rRNA from 1 species